rnacentral:misc_RNA from 1 species
UGAAGGGCAGUAUCUUAGGGCCGAG